rnacentral:lncRNA from 1 species
AUGGUUAUUCAUCUCCUUCAAAUACACCCACUGGACAACUGGGACAGAUACAAGCUUCAAAGGAAGGUACCUCCCAGCUAUCUGCAUCUGCGUGAGGCACGUGCCAAACAAAACCAGGCUGCACCAACUUCAGUUUUGAACUGUAACUGUUCAAACACUGUAUUGCUUAGGUUUAACCCUGGCCUUGUGAUUUGUCAAGGCAAAAUGUCCAUUGAAAUCAUUGUCCUCAAUUCUUGUUUCACCUCUUGGUGUCUACAAUUCGUCCUUAAAAAAGAAGUGAGAACUAAUAUAAUGGAGUUAAGUUCCAGUGGUCAGCCCUGCGAAAGUUAGAAAGGAGUGGGGAGAAGAAAUAGUGGAGCUGGCAACAUCUUUGAGACCUCCAGGUGGAGCAUCUUGUUCUACUGAUGGCUUUAGAAACACUUGCCCUCUGUUUCUUUCAGCUGAGCCCAGAAAACUUCAGUGACAUCUGGGAGAGAAGUGGUGAGUAUGCACUGAUUUUGGAAGAGCCUUAUUUCAGGUAUGGCCCCUUAAGUUUCCUGGAUCAUGACAA